rnacentral:rRNA from 1 species
GACAUAGGUGACGAACGUUAUCCGGAAUUAUUGGGCGUAAAGGAUGCGUAGAUGGUUAAAUAAGUUAUCGGUGGGAAAACAAGGCUCAACCUUGUGGAAGCUGAUAAUACUGUUUGGCUAGAGUGUAGGAGAGGUUAACGGAAUUCCAUGUGGAGCGGUGAAAUGCGUAGAUAUAUGGAAGAACACCGAUAAAGGCGAAAGCAGUUAACUAUUCUACUACUGACAUUGAGGCAUGAAAGCGUGGGGAGCAAAUAGG